GACAGAGGGUGCAAACGUUGCUCGGAAUUACUGGGCGUAAAGCGCGUGUAGGCGGACUGGUGUGUCGGAUGUGAAAUCCCCAGGCUCAACCUGGGAACUGCAUUCGAAACUGCCAGCCUUGAGUGGCGGAGAGGGAAGUGGAAUUCCUGGUGUAGAGGUGAAAUUCGUAGAUAUCAGGAGGAACACCAGUGGCGAAGGCGGCUUCCUGGACGACCAACUGACGCUGAGACGCGAAAGCGUGGGGAGCAAACAGG
rnacentral:rRNA from 1 species